UUCACCGUCCAACCAAUCUUUUCAAUUUAAUUUCUUAGUUAACGGCACCGAUAGGUUUAUCGAUUAACGCGUUGAUCGACAAACCUUCCGCUAAUAUCGGCUUCUAAGGGAGGGGGGGGGGGGGGGGCGUCCUCUGAAAUAUCCACAUUUUUGUUCACGUGGCACUUUCCGUAAGAAAAUUCAACGCAAAAGAAUACGUCGGUGGUAUGCGAGUGCUCUAGCGAAUGCUAUAAACGUUAUACGGAGACAUUUGCUAAAAACUUAUUUCUUCGUUUAACUUUGUAAAUCUGUUUUGCAGAUAAGGAGUUUACGCGAGUAAAGAUGGGCAGAUUAACAAAAGAUAUAGCGGAACGGUACAGUGCGACGCGGCGCUCACAUUGCCCUCUAUCUAAGUACAUAUAAUACAUCGUCCACCUCUUCACGUGGGAAUAUUGAUUUCGCCGCGUCAGCUGCUCGCUCAGUUGCUCGACUUUGCUUGCCUAUUCGUCGACCGUUCGUCCUCGGUUGUUCGCCGCGAACGCGCGCGCGUUUACUCGCCGCUUGCCCGAUCUAAUUCGUACACUUGUUCUACCACUUUAUACGUUAAUUUGCAUUGCUCAUCUACCACGUGUUUCCCACCUCGCAAACGUCACGCGAUUAUCGUUCGUUUAACGAGCCUGUUUCUAUGUCAUGAUCAAUUAUUACCUUUUACAAAAAACAGGAUUUUCACUUUUUUUAAUAUUUACCGUACAUACGAAUAUUUCAGUACAUACGAAUCAUUUCAGAAACGUUCUAAAAUGUAUCGUUGAUUCACAUUUUUAACGUAGCGAUUCUUCGUAUUUAAUUUUAGGCAUCAUCGACGUUACUAAAAUUUAACUCAUAUUUUCCUAUGGAGGAAACAGAUUGAUUUUCAAACACAUUAUGGAAAAUAACCUGUGAAACACGUGUGGGCCCUGGUCCGAGGUCAAGCGUGAAUCAUCUUUCGUGAUUCAACGAGUAAAAUGAAAAAUUAUUGAUAAUCGCCAUCACGUGGAACCAAUUAAUUUUAAUAACGAUUUAUACAAGAUUAAUUUGAAUGAACGCAAAGAACGAGGGAAAAGAUCAACGAGAGGAAGAUUUUAUCUCUUAAUUUCAUCGAAAUCGUGUUAAAAUAACGCGAUGUUAUAGUACGUGUCGUAAUUCUUGUUCUUAAUCGCAACAUUCUCCAAGAAGUCCUUCGAUCGGAGUUUCCAACUUUUUUCGAUAAAUUUGUCGGAAUAAUAAAUAUAGAGGCAAUAUAACGAAGAAAUUAUACGUUCCUUCGACGAUUUCUCUUACCGUAUAAUCGAAGAACAAGAUUCCGACACUGGUAAAUUUCCUAAAUUUUGUAAUUUACCGGCCAUUCUCCCGGUCCAAAUUUACACGAAUAACGAUACUAACCUGAAACAUAAAAAAAGAUUAUACGUAAUGAUAACUUUAUUUACGUAUAUAUGUAUGUGUAUAUACAUAUGUGUGCAUAUCGGCGUAUUAAAUCGGUACAAAAUUAAAA